ACGAGGGGUCUGGGGCCCGCCGGGGCUCCGGCCACGGGAUCGCUCCGGCCGCGGGGAGCCGGGGCCCUACCGGGGCAGGGAAGAAUGGGGGCAGCCCUUUCCUCGUUCCUCCCGUGCUCUAGGACCCCGAGCAGAGCUGCCCGUCUGUCCCCGUGUCCCUGUGUCUGUCCACAGGCAGCCCCAGGAGCCGGCACUGACCGUGCCGCGGGUCGGGCACAGGCUGCUCCCAGCUCUGCCUGCGGACCUUCGGCAAUUGCCGACAGCAGUUCUUUGCCCUGCCAUCCAGAAGGGGCAGCUCAUCUGACACCUGCCAGACGGGGAAGGUCCUGCCUGGGAGGGAAACGGCUACAGGAGAGGAAACCAAGAAAUGCUCCAACAGGACGCUGCUGCGCGAGUCAAAGGACGGAAGGACCGCAGGGAAAUCGAGGAGGUUUUCCGGCCCCGUCCGGGAUUCACCCAACGGCUGCAAAGGUGCUCGUGCGACGUCCGAGCUCAUUUCCAGGGAUAAAGGAGCCAAACGAGUCCGGAGCGAUCCCUCGCUCCCAGGC